rnacentral:rRNA from 1 species
UACAGAGGGUGCAAGCGUUAAUCGGAGUUACUGGGCGUAAAGGGCGCGUAGGCGGUCAUGCAAGUGAGAUGUGAAAUCCCCGGGCUUAACCUGGGAACUGCAUUUUAGACUGUGUGACUGGAGUACUGUAGAGGACAGUGGAAUUUCCGGUGUAGCGGUGAAAUGCGUAGAGAUCGGAAGGAACACCAGUGGCGAAGGCGACUGUCUGGCCAGAUACUGACGCUGAGGAGCGAAAGCGUGGGGAGCGAACAGG